rnacentral:rRNA from 1 species
AGAGUGAACGCUGGCGGUAGGCCUAACACAUGCAAGUCGAACGGCAGCACGGUAAGAGCUUGCUCUUAUGGGUGGCGAGUGGCGGACGGGUGAGGAAUACAUCGGAAUCUACCUUUUGGUGGGGGAUAACGUAGGGAAACUUACGCUAAUACCGCAUACGCCCUUCGGGGGAAAGCCGGGGACCAGCAAUGGCCUGGUGCUGAUAGAUGAGCCGAUGUCGGAUUAGCUAGUUGGUGAGGUAAUGGCUCACCAAGGCGACGAUCCGUAGCUGGUCUGAGAGGAUGAUCAGCCACACUGGAACUGAGACACGGUCCAGACUCCUACGGGAGCAGCAGUGGGAAUGUGGACAAGUGGGCGCAAGCCUGACUCCAGCCAUACCGCGUAGGUGAAGAA